UACGUAGGCAGCAAGCGUUGUUCGGAAUUACUGGGCGUAAAGCGAGUGUAGGUGGUGCUAUAAGUUUGGUGUGAAAUCUCCCGGCUCAACUGGGAGGGUGCGCCGAAGACUGUAGUGCUAGAGUGUGGGAGAGGUAGGCGGAAUUCCUGGUGUAGCGGUGAAAUGCGUAGAUAUCAGGAGGAACACCUGCGGUGUAGACGGCUUACUGGACCACGACUGACACUGAAACUCGAAAAGUGUGGGGAGCAAACAGG
rnacentral:rRNA from 1 species